CGCUAUCACUCCUACGGGAGGCAGCAGUAGGGAAUCUUCCACAAUGGGCGCAAGCCUGAUGGAGCAACACCGCGUGAGUGAAGAAGGGUUUCGGCUCGUAAAGCUCUGUUGUUAAAGAAGAACACGUAUGAGAGUAACUGUUCAUACGUUGACGGUAUUUAACCAGAAAGUCACGGCUAACUAUGUGCCAGCAGCCGCGGUAAUACGUAGGUGGCAAGCGUUAUCCGGAUUUAUUGGGCGUAAAGAGAGUGCAGGCGGUUUUCUAAGUCUGAUGUGAAAGCCUUCGGCUUAACCGAAGAAGUGCAUUGGAAACUGGGUGACUUGAGUGCAGAAGAGGACAGUGGAACUCCAUGUGUAGCGGUGAAAUGCGUAGAUAUAUGGAAGAACACCAGUGGCGAAGGCGGCUGUCUGGUCUGUAACUGACGCUGAGGCUCGAAAGCAUGGGUAGCGAACAGGAUUAGAUACCCUGGUAG
rnacentral:rRNA from 1 species